rnacentral:tmRNA from 1 species
GGGGCCGUAUUUGGUUUCGACGGGGAUGCGGAGGGACAGAGAAGCGAGCGGCGGCCCUGAACCGCCCAACAACGGGAACUUAAAUGAACUGACAACUACGAUAACGUAGCUUUCGCCGCUUAAUAGGCGAUCGUCGACCCUGAGCGUCCUGCCGCGCAGGCCAUCGACGUCAUAAUAGCAGGGAACCAGCCGCCCUAAGCUUUGCGGACGGCGGGACUUUAUGAAGCUACUGAAACCGGCAUCCUGUCUGCGGGAGUCCGGCGGAGGGAAUGUCAAAACACAGACUGCGCUCGGAGAUGCUCUGGUCUUCUGGUCUUCGGACAGGGGUUCGACCCCCCUCGGCUCCACCA